UUACGGCCAUAUCACGUUGAAACACUAGUUCUUGUACAAUCACUGCAGUUAAGCAAUGUCAAGCCUUGUCAGUACCUAGAUGGGUGACCACUUGGGAAUGUCAGGUGCUAU